rnacentral:rRNA from 1 species
UGCGCUAAUACCGCAUACGAUCUACGGAAGAAAGCAGGGGAUUCGCAAGAACCUUGUGCUCGUGGAGCGGCCGAUAUCUGAUUAGCUAGUUGGUAGGGUAAAAGCCUACCAAGGCYACGAUCAGUAGCUGGUCUGAGAGGACGACCAGCCACACUGGAACUGAGACACGGUCCAGACUCCUACGGGAGGCAGCAGUGGGGAAUUUUGGACAAUGGGGGCAACCCUGAUCCAGCAAUGCCGCGUGAGUGAAGAAGGCCUUCGGGUUGUAAAGCUCUUUUGUCAGGGAAGAAACGGUGAGUUCUAAUAUAGCUUACUAAUGACGGUACCUGAAGAAUAAGCACCGGCUAACUACGUGCCAGCAGCCGCGGUAAUACGUAGGGUGCAAGCGUUAAUCGGAAUUACUGGGCGUAAAGCGUGCGCAGGCGGUUAUGUAAGACAGAUGUGAAAUGCCCGGGCUCAACCUGGGAACUGCAUUUGUGACUGCAUGGCUAGAGUGUGUCAGAGGGGGGUAGAAUUCCACGUGUAGCAGUGAAAUGCGUAGAUAUGUGGAGGAAUACCGAUGGCGAAGGCAGCCCCCUGGGAUGCCACUGACGCUCAUGCACGAAAGCGUGGGGAGCAAACAGGAUUAGAUACCCUGGUAGUCCACGCCCUAAACGAUGUCUACUAGUUGUUGGGUCUUAAUUGACUUAGUAACGCAGCUAACGCGUGAAGUAGACCGCCUGGGGAGUACGGUCGCAAGAUUAAAACUCAAAGGAAUUGACGGGGACCCGCACAAGCGGUGGAUGAUGUGGAUUAAUUCGAUGCAACGCGAAAAACCUUACCUACCCUUGACAUGUACGGAAGAUUUCAGAGAUGAGAUUG